rnacentral:rRNA from 1 species
GAUAAACGCUGGCGGCGUGCCUAAUACAUGCAAGUCGAGCGAACGGACGAGAAGCUUGCUUCUCUGAUGUUAGCGGCGGACGGGUGAGUAACACGUGGAUAACCUACCUAUAAGACUGGGAUAACUUCGGGAAACCGGAGCUAAUACCGGAUAAUAUUUUGAACCGCAUGGUUCAAAAGUGAAAGACGGUCUUGCUGUCACUUAUAGAUGGAUCCGCGCUGCAUUAGCUAGUUGGUAAGGUAACGGCUUACCAAGGCAACGAUGCAUAGCCGACCUGAGAGGGUGAUCGGCCACACUGGAACUGAGACACGGUCCAGACUCCUACGGGAGGCAGCAGUAGGGAAUCUUCCGCAAUGGGCGAAAGCCUGACGGAGCAACGCCGCGUGAGUGAUGAAGGUCUUCGGAUCGUAAAACUCUGUUAUUAGGGAAGAACAUAUGUGUAAGUAACUGUGCACAUCUUGACGGUACCUAAUCAGAAAGCCACGGCUAACUACGUGCCAGCAGCCGCGGUAAUACGUAGGUGGCAAGCGUUAUCCGGAAUUAUUGGGCGUAAAGCGCGCGUAGGCGGUUUUUUAAGUCUGAUGUGAAAGCCCACGGCUCAACCGUGGAGGGUCAUUGGAAACUGGAAAACUUGAGUGCAGAAGAGGAAAGUGGAAUUCCAUGUGUAGCGGUGAAAUGCGCAGAGAUAUGGAGGAACACCAGUGGCAAAGGCGACUUUCUGGUCUGUAACUGACGCUGAUGUGCGAAAGCGUGGGGAUCAAACAGGAUUAGAUACCCUGGUAGUCCACGCCGUAAACGAUGAGUGCUAAGUGUUAGGGGGUUUCCGCCCCUUAGUGCUGCAGCUAACGCAUUAAGCACUCCGCCUGGGGAGUACGACCGCAAGGUUGAAACUCAAAGGAAUUGACGGGGACCCGCACAAGCGGUGGAGCAUGUGGUUUAAUUCGAAGCAACGCGAAGAACCUUACCAAAUCUUGACAUCCUUUGACAACUCUAGAGAUAGAGCCUUCCCCUUCGGGGGACAAAGUGACAGGUGGUGCAUGGUUGUCGUCAGCUCGUGUCGUGAGAUGUUGGGUUAAGUCCCGCAACGAGCGCAACCCUUAAGCUUAGUUGCCAUCAUUAAGUUGGGCACUCUAAGUUGACUGCCGGUGACAAACCGGAGGAAGGUGGGGAUGACGUCAAAUCAUCAUGCCCCUUAUGAUUUGGGCUACACACGUGCUACAAUGGACAAUACAAAGGGCAGCGAAACCGCGAGGUCAAGCAAAUCCCAUAAAGUUGUUCUCAGUUCGGAUUGUAGUCUGCAACUCGACUACAUGAAGCUGGAAUCGCUAGUAAUCGUAGAUCAGCAUGCUACGGUGAAUACGUUCCCGGGUCU